ensembl:lncRNA novel transcript
GGAAGAGUUAAAAGGAGGAACGCUGGCUCAGCCAAGCCCCGGAGACUCCUACUUGAUAUGGGCAGUUUAAAGCCACUUUCCCUUUAAAUUUUUCUGUGACAACUCUUUUCAUGGAGAAUGGAAAGACUCUCGUUAAGUGUUGCCGUUCAGAAGUGUUGGCGGUCGUUGCUAACAUGAGAUCCAACAAGAAAUGGUGAAAAUGCACAAUGCCUCAGGACGCCUUGAGGAAGGAGCAGCAUGUUGCUGCCGAGGGUGAACACACGUGGUCUCUGCGGAGAGGCGACAGAUCUCCCUGGGCGUCAGUCAUCCUGGGACUGGGUGUCGUGGAAGAAGGUGACACCAGGCAGAAACCAAGAGCAGGGGAGCUGCAGGCCGGCAUAAGAGCCCGUAUCAGAGCAGAGUGGCCCCUGAGCGGGGAGGGAGCCGGAGAUCACUGUUGGAGGAGGGCCCGGCACCUGCACCUGAGGACAUGAGUCUAAUAAAAGAGUAUAAAUAAUAUAAUAAAAGAGAGUAUAAUAAAAAAAUAAUUUAAAGAAAA